GCGSGGGMSRKMMGGCCUUAACAMAUGCAAGUCGAGCGGAUGAAGGGAGCUUGCUCCUGAAUUCAGCGGCGGACGGGUGAGUAAUGCCUAGGAAUCUGCCUGGUAGUGGGGGACAACGUUUCGAAAGGAACGCUAAUACCGCAUWCGUCCUACGGGAGAAAGCAGGGGACCUUCGGGCCUUGCGCUAUCAGAUGAGCCUAGGUCGGAUUAGCUAGUUGGUGAGGUAAUGGCUCACCAAGGCGACGAUCCGUAACUGGUCUGAGAGGAUGAUCAGUCACACUGGAACUGAGACACGGUCCAGACUCCUACGGGAGGCAGCAGUGGGGAAUAUUGGACAAUGGGCGAAAGCCUGAUCCAGCCAUGCCGCGUGUGUGAAGAAGGUCUUCGGAUUGUAAAGCACUUUAAGUUGGGAGGAAGGGUUGUAGAUUAAUACUCUGCAAUUUUGACGUUACCGACAGAAUAAGCACCGGCUAACUCUGUGCCAGCAGCCGCGGUAAUACAGAGGGUGCAAGCGUUAAUCGGAAUUACUGGGCGUAAAGCGCGCGUAGGUGGUUCGUUAAGUUGGAUGUGAAAUCCCCGGGCUCAACCUGGGAACUGCAUCCAAAACUGGCGAGCUAGAGUAUGGUAGAGGGUGGUGGAAUUUCCUGUGUAGCGGUGAAAUGCGUAGAUAUAGGAAGGAACACCAGUGGCGAAGGCGACCACCUGGGACUGAUACUGACACUGAGGUGCGAAGCGUGGGGAGCAACAGGAUUAGAUACCCUGGUAGUCCACGCCGUAAACGAUGUCAAUUAGCCGUUGGGAGCCCAGAGCUCUUAGUGGCGCAGCUAACGCAUUAAGUUGACCGCCUGGGGAGUACGGCCGCAAGGUUAAAACUCAAAUGAAUUGACGGGGGCCCGCACAAGCGGUGGAGCAUGUGGUUUAAUUCGAAGCAACGCGAAGAACCUUACCAGGCCUUGACAUCCAAUGAACUUUCCAGAGAUGGAUUGGUGCCUUCGGGARCAUUGAGACAGGUGCUGCAUGGCUGUCGUCAGCUCGUGUCGUGAGAUGUUGGGUUAAGUCCCGUAACGAGCGCAACCCUUGUCCUUAGUUACCAGCACGUUAUGGUGGGCACUCUAAGGAGACUGCCGGUGACAAACCGGAGGAAGGUGGGGAUGACGUCAAGUCAUCAUGGCCCUUACGGCCUGGGCUACACACGUGCUACAAUGGUCGGUACAAAGGGUUGCCAAGCCGCGAGGUGGAGCUAAUCCCAUAAAACCGAUCGUAGUCCGGAUCGCAGUCUGCAACUCGACUGCGUGAAGUCGGAAUCGCUAGUAAUCGCGAAUCAGAAUGUCGCGGUGAAUACGUUCCCGGGCCUUGUACACACCGCCCGUCACACCAUGGGAGUGGGUUGCACCAGAAGUAGCUAGUCUAACCUUCGGGAGGACGGUACAAUCGGRAGGAAMC
rnacentral:rRNA from 1 species